CAUAUUUUCCCUGUUGGAGAGUAACAACCAUGCCUCUGGAGAAGACAGAUCUUUCUAGAAUCAAGAAUGAAAGGACAAGUUAAAGAGGGUCCCCUGGGUGACUGUACUGCAAGCUACCAAAGUUUGAGAGUCACUUCCUUUAGGACUUCUAAGACAGAAUUCAUCUGCUUGCUACAAUAGAGAUUGCUCUCUACCUUACCCCUACGGAUGACCUUGGUAGCCAUGUGUUGAAGAUACUGAAGUCCUAUCAGCCUAGGUUUCUGAAUGACUGCAUUGAGAACUGUCCCAGUGAC